CAUGAUAUUACUAGUGUAUGUUUGAAAACCCACGAUAGCAUUCUUUUUUUUAAAUUUGUCUUCUGUUUGAUAUAAACAUGACAAAGAAAAGUCUAAUGUAUGGGGAAAACACUUAACUGAGUACUAUGAUAUAUUCUUUUAAAUCUUAAUCAACAAUGAGUGUUUGUGGAUUCUGUCAGCGGCAAAAGUUUCCCUAUGAUCAACCCGGCCUCGGGGACAAAGAGAUAUGUGACGUGUCUGAAGGCGACAGGUUCACUGGGCCUUAAACCCGCCAGUCCGUGCAGUAUCAGUUUGGACGCGGCAGUCCAGAGGGAAGGACGUACUUAUACUUCUCUCGUGCAUACCAUCCAGUUACUAUGCAUGUUCUUAAUAUAAAUAGCUGUGUGCUUACUCUGGAGUGAACCUGGUACUGGCUUUUUCUGAGGUCCCUUGUUCCAUCUAUUGUGUAAACCACUUUCAUCGAUGGUGGCCGAAUAUUGGUGACGUCUGGUGUAGACUAAGUGGCCAGUAGAGAACAUUGCCCAUUGGAGGACCUUACCAGUCCAUUCUUGUCCAGACCAAGUGGUAAUAGACAACAGUGGAGGACUUUACUAGUUCCCAUACUAGGACAAUUACUUUCAAUAUGUAUCAAUUCAAACUAUAUUAAAUAUGUA